UACGUAGGGUGCAAGCGUUGUCCGGAAUCAUUGGGCGUAAAGCGCGUGUAGGCGGUUCGGUAAGUCUGCUGUGAAAGUCCAGGGCUCAACCCUGGGAUGCCGGUGGAUACUGUCGGGCUAGAGUACGGAAGAGGCGAGUGGAAUUCCCGGUGUAGCGGUGAAAUGCGCAGAUAUCGGGAGGAACACCAAUUGCGAAGGCAGCUCGCUGGGACGUCACUGACGCUGAGACGCGAAAGCGUGGGGAGCAAACAGG
rnacentral:rRNA from 1 species